GCAGUUAUGCUACGGACCAUUUAAAAUUAAUUACGAUUUUCGAUUCAUUCAAUUAUAUUUCAUUAAAAAUACCCCUCUAGAAAAUUCUUUGGAGACGCCUAUUUAAUCGCCUAGGUGCCUAUUUUCGCAGCGAAGCAAGAGGAAAGCACCGCGCAUGUUUCUAUCGGAUCGAUACGAAUCGAUUUCCGAUAACAUUGAACAGCAGUUGGUCAGGAAACGGCUCGAAGGGCGGAUGACGCGCCGCUAGUAAGGUUAUUCCCCCUUUUAAGUGACGGGAUUGAAACAAAUUUUCGAUGGAAAUCAAAUAAUUAGAAGGAAAUCAAGCGUCAGCUAAUCCCAUCUACAAAACUAGAUAACCAAAGUUAAACAUCUCUUUGGACUUCUUCACAUAACAGAAGUGGAUAUUCCGGCGUGCCUGCCUUGUUUCAAUCCCGUAACUUAGUUAUUUAGUCACACAACGUGACUCUAUCACGUUGAUUAUGUACUACCUAGUUAGAUUGCUAGCCACUCUGUGAUGGUUUAUCCCUAGAGUGGGCUGUUUUUGUUGGAUAAUACACCAUACCGGAUUUUAUUACAACCAGCAUCUUCACCCAGGACCUUGCAGUAGGACUUACUCACCACAGCAGCCAACCAUUUUAUCGUGCCAAAAGGGAAUUUCCUACGGAAUUCAUCUCUAUGGACUUGCAACCCUACUUUUAACCGACUGUUGUGUAAAAGCUAAGUUUAUUUACUUUUUCUGUAUUUACUUUUGGGUAAGAUAUAUUUGCUACAUUGUAAACUUUUCGUAUGCAUACGAUUAGGAAGAGUACAUAUAUUUUCGUGAUAGAUAGGGUUUUAGGUUGUUGUUUUUUUUUCUUUUUGAUUCAGUAUAAGUAGGAGUUAGUUAAAAUAAAUAAAAUCAGGUCUUGUUUAAUAAUCAUAAAUGAUUGUAUCUUAAAAUUUAAUAGGGAAUCGGGUUGUAAAAUUUUGUCGCGGAUUUUAAAAUAGGGAAUACGUCUAGUAGGUUUUUUUUGUAUAAUAUAUAAAGAGUCACUGACCAACUCAUUUAUAUAGACCUUUUUGCUAUUCCAACGGACUUUUGAUUUGGAUUUUGAUUUUAAUACUUUUGCUUGGCCAGUGAUAGUGGAUAAUUGCUUGUUGAGUGGCCUUUGCGGUCCUAUUUUAUCUUUUCCCCAUCCUCUAUCACUGUUAUUACGUUGCGUUAUAUGUAAAGUGUUAACAUUUAAUAUUUAUUAUUAAUAUAUUUGUAUGUAUUAAGGUUGGUGUUUUAUUUCAGUCUGUAUUACCAGUAUAUGACAUAGCAAGACAAGCUCAGUAUUUAGUAUUUUGUAUUUCAGGUAGUUGUAACCAGUGUCAUAGAGUUCAUGUUGUUCGUUACUUCAAAAUCUCGAACCUGUCCAACUUCUUGGUUCUGAGAGCCGAGUUGUUCGUUCGAGUUGGCGCCCUUUUUUCUUCUUCUUUCUUUGUUGUAACUCGAUAUUAUUUUAUCUCUAGCAUUCUUAUCUAUUUUCCUUCCAUUUUUGUAUUAAUAGUCUCAUUUUCUUCCUAGUUACUAUCAUUUCAUUACCAAAUUUUCUUCUUAUAUCUCUAAAGCCAAUAUUCGGUGUAUGGAAGCUAGCCCGAAUACUCAUACUUGAGAUUUAGUGUCUCUCUGCCCUUUUGAUUUUUUUUUCCUUCUGAGCUAAGCCCCUCUUCUUUUGUCUUAAAUCUCUUAUCAUUUAUUUUACCCAUCUUUAGUCAGUUCUUCUCUUCAAAAAUCUCUAUACCCAGAGUACAGAGGGUUCAAUUGACUUUGACCCAACGUGUGGCUUCUUUUACAUUUUUAGCUUUGAAAAUAUCUCAUUUUACUUUUGGUUUUAUCUUGGUGGUUUCAGUGAUUGUGUUUUUAGAUUUUGAUUCGAAUGUUCACUUUGGUACUUCAAUUUGGUUUUUUUUUGGACAUUAUCUUAUACCUAUAUUUUGAAUAAACUUGUUUUGCUAUAGUAUACUGUGUUGACUGAAUAAAUUGUUUUGUUUUGAUUGGUCAAAUAAUUAUUUUGAAUUAAUAAUAAAUUAAUUGAGAAUUUAAUAUCUUGAAUUUAACUAUUUUACAAGUCCGGAAUAGCAUUAAAAGUGAAUCACUACCUUGAAUUAAAAGUCAUUUUCAAUUUUAGGUUUAUCGGAAGUUGUAGCAGUACAUUUCAUCAGAUUUCACGACUGGACCAAAAAAAUAAACAUUACUGGUAUAGGUAUCCACUCAGAACAUUAACUUGAGGACAGAGAAUCCCGUAACUUAGUUAUUUAGUCACACAACGUGACUCUAUCACGUUGAUUAUGUACUACCUAGUUAGAUUGCUAGCCACUCUGUGAUGGUUUAUCCCUAGAGUGGGCUGUUUUUGUUGGAUAAUACACCAUACCGGAUUUUAUUACAACCAGCAUCUUCACCCAGGACCUUGCAGUAGGACUUACUCACCACAGCAGCCAACCAUUUUAUCGUGCCAAAAGGGAAUUUCCUACGGAAUUCAUCUCUAUGGACUUGCAACCCUACUUUUAACCGACUGUUGUGUAAAAGCUAAGUUUAUUUACUUUUUCUGUAUUUACUUUUGGGUAAGAUAUAUUUGCUACAUUGUAAACUUUUCGUAUGCAUACGAUUAGGAAGAGUACAUAUAUUUUCGUGAUAGAUAGGGUUUUAGGUUGUUGUUUUUUUUUCUUUUUGAUUCAGUAUAAGUAGGAGUUAGUUAAAAUAAAUAAAAUCAGGUCUUGUUUAAUAAUCAUAAAUGAUUGUAUCUUAAAAUUUAAUAGGGAAUCGGGUUGUAAAAUUUUGUCGCGGAUUUUAAAAUAGGGAAUACGUCUAGUAGGUUUUUUUUGUAUAAUAUAUAAAGAGUCACUGACCAACUCAUUUAUAUAGACCUUUUUGCUAUUCCAACGGACUUUUGAUUUGGAUUUUGAUUUUAAUACUUUUGCUUGGCCAGUGAUAGUGGAUAAUUGCUUGUUGAGUGGCCUUUGCGGUCCUAUUUUAUCUUUUCCCCAUCCUCUAUCACUGUUAUUACGUUGCGUUAUAUGUAAAGUGUUAACAUUUAAUAUUUAUUAUUAAUAUAUUUGUAUGUAUUAA